GAAAAUACUUUUUUCGUCUUGCCCAGAGCUUUCGGUCCCGAUGCUUUAGCCACUGAAGAAGGUCCACAUCGGGACCGAAAGCUCUGGGCAAGACGAAAAAAUAUUUUC
rnacentral:pre_miRNA from 1 species